UUGUACAGGCUUGGUGUGUAUGUGCGUGUGUGUGUCGUUUGCUUUGACAGAUCUUUUCACCUGUAAAACUCUUGUUCAAUUCAUUAGUUACUGGCUCUCGACACAAUUGUACGUUAAAGGGGACUUUAACAGGGAUUAGCUAUAUAGAGUUGAAAACAUUGGUAGAUGGUAUUUGGACGUCAUGGCAUGACUCCUAUGAUAAGGUGAACAAGAGCUAAAAAAAACACGACGCCACUUUUAAAAAAGAACGCACUAGGUCUUUUUGAGUGGUAAGAGAAUCUUGAUUUUCUACGAUAAGAAAAAGUCAGUGAGUUUUACGAGUCUCAACUGUUUUACCACUUCAUCUAAAAUAUAUUUUUUACCCUCUUCCAAAUUUUUACUAUGAAUGUCAUUUGUCAUAAAAAUCUGUUUAUGCGUGUCAAAUUUUAUUUUUAUUACUUUCAAGAUGCACUGU